rnacentral:rRNA from 1 species
GGGGAAUUUUGCGCAAUGGGGGAAACCCUGACGCAGCAACGCCGCGUGGAGGAUGAAAUAUCUUGGUAUGUAAACUCCUUUCGAUAGGGAAGAUUAUGACGGUACCUAUAGAAGAAGCCCCGGCUAACUUCGUGCCAGCAGCCGCGGUAAUACGAGGGGGGCAAGCGUUGUUCGGAAUUAUUGGGCGUAAAGGCCGCGUAGGCGGUUUGACAAGUUUCAUGUGAAAUCUAUGGGCUCAACCCAUAGUCUGCAUGGAAAACUGUCGGGCUUGAGUAUGGGAGAGGUGAGUGGAAUUUCCGGUGUAGCGGUGAAAUGCGUAGAUAUCGGAAGGAACACCUGAGGCGAAAGCGGCUCACUGGACCAUAACUGACGCUGAGGCGCGAAAGCUAGGGGAGCAAACA